rnacentral:hammerhead_ribozyme from 1 species
AUCCAUCUGACAAGUCCCAAGUAGGAUGAAACGUGAGUCCUGGAU